UACACUGGGUCGUGGAGGGUUUCUCCCCUGC
rnacentral:piRNA from 1 species